rnacentral:rRNA from 1 species
UACGUAGGGUGCGAGCGUUGUCCGGAUUUAUUGGGCGUAAAGAGCUCGUAGGCGGUUUGUCGCGUCGGCCGUGAAAUCUCCACGCUUAACGUGGAGCGUGCGGUCGAUACGGGCAGACUUGAGUUCGGUAGGGGAGACUGGAAUUCCUGGUGUAGCGGUGAAAUGCGCAGAUAUCAGGAGGAACACCGGUGGCGAAGGCGGGUCUCUAGGCCGAUACUGACGCUGAGGAACGAAAGCGUGGGGAGCGAACAGG